GGCCCAUUGCUCAGUGACAGAGCAUCUGUUUUGCAUACAGAAGGUCCCGGGUUCAAUUCCCCAGCACCUCCA
rnacentral:tRNA from 1 species